CCUACGGGAUGCACCAGUGGGGAAUUUUGGACAAUGGGCGAAAGCCUGAUCCAGCAAUGCCGCGUGCAGGAUGAAGGCCCUCGGGUUGUAAACUGCUUUUGUACGGAACGAAAAGCCUGGGGCUAAUAUCCUCGGGUCAUGACGGUACCGUAAGAAUAAGCACCGGCUAACUACGUGCCAGCAGCCGCGGUAAUACGUAGGGUGCAAGCGUUAAUCGGAAUUACUGGGCGUAAAGCGUGCGCAGGCGGUUUUGUAAGACAGUGGUGAAAUCCCCGGGCUCAACCUGGGAACUGCCAUUGUGACUGCAAGGCUAGAGUGCGGCAGAGGGGGAUGGAAUUCCGCGUGUAGCAGUGAAAUGCGUAGAUAUGCGGAGGAACACCGAUGGCGAAGGCAAUCCCCUGGGCCUGCACUGACGCUCAUGCACGAAAGCGUGGGGAGCAAACAGGAUUAGAUACCCCAGUAGUC
rnacentral:rRNA from 1 species